UACGAGGGGGGCAAGCGUUGUUCGGAAUUAUUGGGCGUAAAGGGCGCGUAGGCGGUGCGGUAAGUCACCUGUGAAACCUCUAGGCUCAACCUAGAGCCUGCAGGCGAAACUGCCGUGCUUGAGGGUGGGAGAGGUGCGUGGAAUUCCUGGUGUAGCGGUGAAAUGCGCAGAUAUCAGGAAGAACACCUAUGGCGAAGGCAGCUCUCUGGGACGGUACUGACGCUGAGACGCGAAAGCGUGGGGAGCGAACAGG
rnacentral:rRNA from 1 species